UCCGGUAUGGUGUAACGGCUAACAUUGCCGCCUUUCAUCGCAAUAAUGUGGGGAUAUAUUCGCGGCAGCUCGGGGUUCGAUUCCCCGUACCGGAA